AUGAGGCGCCGGAUCCGGGCGUGUCCCGGGUUGGGCGUGGCGCUCCGGAGGUGCCCAGGGAUGCAGAAACAAAGAGUCUGUGCCCAGUCCAAGUUUAAAGGUGAUUAUUAUUUACAUUUAUAUCAUCUUUGGGAGACCGUGACCCUGCUGGAGUCCGGGGGGGACCUCCAGCCCCCCGGGGCGUCUCUGGCCCUUGUGUGCCGCGCCUCUGGAUUCAAUUUCGGGAGUCACUGGAUGGCCUGGUUCCGCCAGAGCCCCGGGAAGGCGCUGGAAUUCGUCGCAGGGAUCAACCCCAAUGGUGGUUACAUUGAUUAUGCGCCGUCGGUCAAGGGUCGGUUCUCGAUCUCCAGGGACAACGGACAGAGCUCGGUGACGCUGACCAUGAACAACCUCAAGGACGAGGAUUCCGCCGUUUAUAUCUGUGCCAAAUGGCACGAUGGUUAUGCUGGUGCUGCUGCCUGUCCAACUGCUCUGAUCCCCCCUGACCUUUCCUGCCAAUCCCAACCCCUGACCCAACUCUUGGCCGUUCCUCCAAAGUUUUGA